rnacentral:tRNA from 1 species
AACACAGUGGUGUAAUCGAUAAUAUACCAGACUGGGAAUCUGCAAUAUGUAGGUUCAAUUCCCGUCUUAUGUCA